rnacentral:rRNA from 1 species
AGUCGAGCGGAAGGCCACUUCGGUGGUACUCGAGCGGCGAACCGUUGAGUAACACGUGAGUAAUCUGCCCUCUACUUGGGGAUAACCUCCGGAAACGGUGGCUAAUACCCGAUACGACCAACUGCUGCAUGGUGGUUGGUGGAAAGUUUUUUCGGUAGGGGAUGUGCUCGCGGCCUAUCAGCUUGUUGGUGGGGUAAUGGCCUACCAAGGCUUCGACGGGUAGCCGGCCUGAGAGGGUGACCGGCCACACUGGGACUGAGACACGGCCCAGACUCCUACGGGAGGCAGCAGUGGGGAAUAUUGGACAAUGGGCGGAAGCCUGAUCCAGCAACGCCGCGUGAGGGAUGACGGCCUUCGGGUUAUAAACCUCUUUCAGUANGGACGAAGCGCAAGUGACGGUACCUACAUAAGAAGCACCGGCCAACUACGUGCCAGCUUCCGCGGUAAUACGUAGGGUGCGAGCGUUGUCCGGAAUUAUUGGG